CGGUCCUUUAAAGGAAGUCCCGUGAGGCUUCAAAGGUUCGUAUCGAUGAGCGUGUAUCGUUGUACACGUCUACCUCUUUGCGUACCUAGGGACGCAAAGGGGUUUUUUUU
rfam:Halobacillus sp. BAB-2008 contig78, whole genome shotgun sequence.